GUCUAAAUAGUUUAUUUAGAACAGUAAUUUGUGGUGUUACAAGUGUAAAUUUUUACUUUAGAUC
rnacentral:tRNA from 2 species